UCCCUUCUAAACCGGGGCUCACUCUCUCAAAUGUUGUCUCAUGAUGACUGAGAAAAUAAAUACUGGAAAAAAAAAAAUCCAAAACACAGAAAAAACUGGGGUGAAAACAAAGUUUGUCUGUCACUUAAUACGAGUUCAUUGACUUCCUGUCAUAAGAGAAAUGGCUGAAUGUGGACUGUAUGAAGGAUUUGAAUUCAGAAUACCUAAACUCCAGUUUUUCAUUGCACCUGUUCCACCACUUGGUACAUGACCAGUCCCUUAUGAUGAGGCAGGAAGACAAUGCAAUGCACAUUUCUGUGCAGCCAUUAGCGGAAUUGAUAUCUAACACUGCAAUUUCUCAUCUGAACACGCACCUUGAAAACGACCUCUGAAGACAAGCUGGACAUAUGAUUAGAAGAUUGCUAUCCCAGCGAAAUGAUACCCUAAAAGCUGUUCUACUGUUACCUCUAUCAAAACCUUCCUUUCUGUUUGCCAAUUAUAACAGCAGAAUCUAUCACUCUUUUCAAUUUUCAUUAUAUCAGGAAUUUACUUUGCACAUUUUCUUCUUCUAUGUAGUACUUUAAAAUCACAUUUUAUUAAAUGCUGUUUCUAACAUAAUUGAGAGCAAUUCACUUAUAAAGUGACUGCUGACAGCUGGAUCCAUUUAUAUCUUAUACGUGAUAUGCUGGGCCUCUUGUCAUCCCUGUCUGGUAUUUGAGAAUUCAUCUUUUGUAUUAAUAUCUCAGAAAGCCUCAACUUUAAACACUAUAUCAAAUGUGUUAAUUUGAGCUCUACUCUCAUACUCCUAUAAAACUCAUGGUUGCCAAACAUUUGCUGAAAACAUCUUACUUUCUCUUUUUAUUUUGAAAUAUGUCAUUUUCUAAACUCCUCACAAAGUGAAUGAUUGCAUAAGUCCUCCUGACCUUUUCCAAACCACAUUGAAAUUAAUAGAAAGAUUCCUGUUGGCUGCAGAAGCUGUGAGUCAGGCCAUUAUUGCCUUAAGUAGACUAAUAGCCUAUUAUACUGUGGAUCUUAGGUGCUUUCCCCAUGCAGUACCCCUCCUGGUUAGAGACACAUUUUGCAACUCACCCUACUUCCAUUUUUAGCCCUGUUAUCCCUAUUUCUCUCAUUUGCCAGCGCAAAAUGUCACUACAUUUUAUGUAGAAUAACACUGUUUAGAAAAUGUUUACAUCUUGCACUUGAAUUAUUCUCUUUUUUUUUUUUCACAGUUAUUUAUUUGUACAGCAUUAGCUUGGAAGGACUGCGCGUACUUUGUGCAAAUCACUUCUCAGGCCUGUAACAAAAGACUGUGCCCACUCCAAGGGGUUUACAGCCUUAGCACUGGUUCCUAUUACCAUCUGCCUGUUCCCCUUUGCCAAAGACACAGCAGAGAACCAAAGCCCAGGAAAUAAGCGGUCAGCCGCUUGUAACAGCGUAAGAUGUGGAUGUUUGAAACUGGCACUGCAUGCUAAUCGGAGGAGAUAGUCCAUCUCUGGAUAGUGACUAAGAGGUAAUAAGUAAGGAAUAAAUUAUAACGAGCCUUGAAAGUGAAGAUAAAUAACUUUUGUUUAACACAGAAGAGAAGCUGGAACCAGCAAAGGGAAAAAUAAAGAGGUGAAUGGGAUGGAAAAUGAUCCUGGCAGGAAGCUUCAUAAUGGGCAGAGGGAAAGAUAAUUUACAUCAAGACUUCGACACAGCAAGAACUGCAAGUGGAGGGUGAGAGUCUAAAAACACUUCCUCUCUUUACAUUUAUGAAAAACUAUGUUUCAGGCAUAUCAAAAUGAAAACUAACUUCCAGUCUUAAAAGUAGCUGAAGGAGCAAGUGCUUCAGGGUGAAGAUGACGUCCAGGUCACACGCAACGCUAUGGAGCCAUCAGUGAGGCCAGGUGGAGAAGCACAGCAUUGGACAUCUUCCCAGGGAUGAUGUGUCACCACUUGAAAACUGACCUCAAAAAGGACAAAUUCAUUCUGAAGUUGCCGGGAUGCUCCCCACUGGAAAGGUGGCAAAAUUGGUGCCCAUCAGCUCAUGCCCUAUUGGGAUGGUUUCCAAAGUGAGGCAAUGCCCAAAUGUGAGUCUCAGCCCACAAACAGGAGUUGAGAGUUGGGCAUCGAGUUUUAGGUACCAUGUCCUCUGGCUUAGUAAGCUACAUGUCUGGGAGUUAAGCACCUGUGUUUCUGCAUGCAUGACAAAGGAAAAAGGGAGAGAAAAGACCUGGCUUCCAGUCCUUACAGAAACAGAGUUAAAAUCAUUUACAUUAGGGAUGCAAUAAGUAGAGAUCCUUGCUUUCGAGCAGAUAUGUCUCUGCAGAAGAAAGUUGACACUCUGAGCACCAAAACAGAUCAUGGGAACUACAAUAAAAAGAAGUGUUCUGCUAAAGCUAAAGGGAGAGGAAUCUGUCAGAGAGAAUGAUAGAAGAAGACUGGUAUUAUGAAAGGAAAAGGGGGGAAAAGAGGAAAAAAAAGGUACAAGAAACUGGAAAAGCCUUUAAGGGACAUAAUGCUGGUUAAUGAGGCAGAAACUAAGAGACAAGUGAAUUACAAGCCAGUGUGAUCAGCAUUUUUUCAAGGUAAUUUGUAAAAGGUGACAAAAGCAUUGAUUUGCUUUUUUCUCACUCUGCCUGUGUACUUAUGUCAUUCACUUAAUGUAAUAACCUCUACUAAUCAGUCAUAGAUUGCAACAUAUUUUUGUUGACCUUAAAACAACGAAAAAAUUAUGAUUCUGGAAUUUGAAGCAUGCAGUUUUUUUCCUAGCUAAAGGGUAAAAUAAAGAGGUAUAGCUGGACAAAUUUUUUUCAUGUUAUGUGAUGAAUCAAGGCCCAUGCACCAUAGGAAGUCCAAACCCAUUCACUUCCUAUAGUUUCAGGCUAUGUCUCAAUUCUAAAAUAGUAUUAAAAUGAAAAUUGUUAUUCCAUAUUGUCAUUCAGUGAAGCUUAUAUGAGCCAUAGAUUUCAGGUAUUCCCAUAAUGGAAGUUAUGGGAAUUAUUGUCUUUAAGAGGCAGAAGUAUCUAGAAUGAGAAACAGCUGCAUUUCUGCCACAUUGAAUAGAAGGAAAUAAGAAGAAAAGAAGGCAGAAAGAAGCCCCAAAACUGCAACUAAGUGGAUACUAGAAAGGUAAGAUACAUUCAGCUAACAAGUGAGGAGAAAAAGACAAUCUUUUAGGCUUUAGAAGAGCUGAUAAUAGCAGAAAAACUGCCUGCAACACAAGGCCAAAAGAUAUCAAACACCCUAAGAUAUGCUUUCACAAAUCAACUAAACAUAUAAACUAGAAAAAAACAAAAAAAGCAUUCCUCUAGACUAUGUCCCUAAGAUGAGAAACUCUGAAAACCUGCAAGUGUAAAGUAAGUAUGAGAUGGUUGUCAGUGUAAUGUCAGCUUCUAGCAGAACAGAAACAACUCAGAAGUCUUGGGAUGAGUUCUCUACUGCCCUGCAUGUUGUACAGUCUUUUUAAAUCAAAGCCUAGAAUGAAGUUUCCAGCCAGCCCGAAAAUACUACAUGUCAGACUAUGCAGAAAGAGCACUACUGCAGAAAAGGUGCUUUACCAGAAUUUAAGAUCUAAACAAAUAUUAGACAGGGUUCAGGUUCAAUAAUGGUCUUAGUUGCUUUCCUUUUUCCUUUUGCAUAAAAGAUAUUUUGGCUAGUAUUUUGCUUUGUCUUGCUUCUAUAAAUCCUCAGAGGAUCCAUCUUGGGAGCACUUCCAGGAUUUGACCUUUAGAUAUUGACAGAGAAGAUGUAUAUGCAUGUGUUCUCAUGUUCUACAAAAUGUAUCGACAAUAAUGGCCGUUCUUCCAUUUAUUUUGUAAAUAGUUUAAUUUUUACAUAUUUGUAUGACUGCAAGAUAUAGUUAGGCUUCUGUAAUUAAUAAUAUUUACGUGCACUAUUUUAAUCUAGGGAUUUAAAUUCUCUGCUGCAUAUUGAUAAACACUUUAUACCAUUUAAACCAGUGUACUGCAAUGUCAUUCAUCAAAAAUUAAAAGUGCACAAUAUCUAUGAUGUGAGGCUAUUAAUUUAUCCACAGAGGCAAAACUACAUGCACUGCUCAACUGAUAAGCCAGCUUCUGUCUCUUGUGGUCAAAGGUAAUUCUUUCUUCCAUAUUAGCUGUGUGUUGGACCUUGGUUUCACAGAUUUUGUCACCAGUGCCUGAUUAUAUGUGGCAGGUUUGUAAUGUGGAGUAUCCUCUAAUGGGGAUUGCACAGCCACUACCAAAGUAAUUUCAAUUAGCACUUUGAUUAAAUGUAAAACUGAACUCCACUGGUAGUAAACAGUGUCUUAUCCACAUAAUUGUUUUGUGCCUAUGUAAUCUUUUCCUUAUAACCUGUUCAGAGAAGGGUAUGAGAUAUACCUUUUACCUCUCUGUUUUCCUCCUGUUCUGUGGUAUAUCAUGUCAAAGGGAGGUUACUCACCUUUGCCAGCUGAACUAGUAGGCCUGCACCUAGUGAGAGGAAUCCAACAGAAAAGUGUUUAGUCUUCUGGGCCCCUAAAAGAAGCUUUUAACUCCAGUUUUUGGAGCAAUA